UUUAAUGGAGAGUUUGAUCCUGGCUCAGGACGAACGCUGGCGGCGUGCCUAAUACAUGCAAGUCGAGCGGGGU
rnacentral:rRNA from 1 species